rnacentral:rRNA from 1 species
UACGUAGGGUGCAAGCGUUGUCCGGAAUCAUUGGGCGUAAAGCGCGUGUAGGCGGCCCGGUAAGUCCGCUGUGAAAGUCCAGGGCUCAACCCUGGGAUGCCGGUGGAUACUGUCGGGCUCGAGUCCGGAAGAGGCGAGUGGAAUUCCUAGUGUAGAGGUGAAAUUCGUAGAUAUUAGGAAGAACACCAGUGGCGAAGGCGGCUCACUGGCCCGGUACUGACGCUGAGGCGCGAAAGCGUGGGGAGCAAACAGG